CUUCCCGUAGUGAAAGAGCUAUCACACGGCUCUGCGAAGGCCGAGUUCCGGGUGCAAUUCCCGGCGGGAGGACCA
rnacentral:tRNA from 1 species